AAAAUCCGUUGACUUUUA
rnacentral:tRNA from 1 species